AUAAACUUGAACGGUUCAUCAAACUAAAAACACGGAUACAACCAAUUAAAUCACAGCUCCACUUAACCAAGAGAUGAACAAAAACAUGAGAAAGACUCGAGAACUUACCUGCAUAAUUAGAACCAGAUGAAGAAGCCAUUGCGACUUCACAGCUUACAACCUUCUCCUCUUUAGCAAAUCACAAUGGUUCUCCCAAACAACAGGGCUUGGAAUGCUAUAUAACCGUAUAUUGCAAGAGUAAUCGCAUAAGCUUUUAUAGUACUCCUUUUGUCAUUCCCUAUCAGAAUCGACUUAGGAUUCAAACUUCACAAUUGAUAUAACAUAUCAAUCCUAAACGUGUUCUAUUACCGAGUUCUAAUCCCACAAGGAUUACUCAGCAUCUCACAAUACUUAUUCCACAAGGAAACCAAAUAAGUUAGGGGUUUCUCCAUUUUAAUCCUUGAUAAAGAUUGAAAUUCAAUUAAAACCUUAUGUUAGAUUAUAUAUUCAUUAUUGUCCUUUGACUAAAUUUCCAUGUCAGCAUAAAUAUUAAAAUUUAUAUUUUCUUGUUUUUAAAUAUUUAAUGCGUUUUUUUGGUUCCUAUAAUGCCCCUAUUAAAUAUUUGAUUUUAAUUUGCUCCAUAUUUUUUGGCAUUGAUUAUUGUCUGACUUUCUAAAAUGAUAAACAUAAUUCAAAAAAUAUAUUAGUGAUACGUUACAAGAAUUAACAAAUACCUAAUUCAAAUUAUUCAUUAUCACCAUUCAAAGCAUAGAGGAAAUAUAAAUAGCCAAAUCAUAUAUUUUACAUAAUCGAAUGCACUUAAACCAUGUCCUAAUGUGCUUAAAUCAUAUAACCUAGUCGAAUGCACAUAAAUCAUAGUACCAAGUCAAAUGCACCUAAACCAUGGUACUUAUAUGAAUGCACCUAAACCAUGGUACCUAUAUGAAUGCACCUAAAUCAUGGUACCUAUAUGAAUGCACCUAAACCAUAGUACCUAUAUGAAUGCACCUAAACCAUAGUACCUAUAUGAAUGCACCUUAAUCAUUUAGGUACUAUCAAUUAGGUCUUAUCCAUUUGGUAUGGUCGGUUAGGUACUAUAUAGUGUAUGUCCGAUGAAUUUGGUACGGUCAAUUAAGUUGUGAUUUCACAUUCUAUUUUCUCAAUUUGUAUUUUCUUUUCAUUUAUCUCUGGAUUCACCGUCAAUUUGGCAUCUAAAAGACCAUUUUUUCUUCUUUCUUCCGAAUACAACGAGAUUUUUGGUUUGUAAGUUUUAUGGCUUUUUUUGUUUGAUCAUGGUUUCUGAGUUUUCUGGGUUCUUUGAUUG
rnacentral:lncRNA from 1 species